UAUUAGAUGUCUGAAAAAAGUAAUGGUCUUUUAAGCCAAUUCAUAGUAAAAUUAUAAUUACUUCUAGUAA
rnacentral:tRNA from 1 species